UAGGGGUUUCCAUUCAAGAUUUUUAUGUUGACCAUGACCGGGCUUUCCAAGGUCAUACCAAGGUCAAAUACAUAUCAUCAUUUAAUAGAUUCUUUUAAGCCCUAUACUUUUUGUUUGAAACAUUUUUCCACUAAAUCAUUAUUUUCCAAGAUUUUUAACCGUUCCGGAACUUUUUGCCAGCACUGUAUAUUUAGAACAAGCGAUAACGAAACCUCGGCGAUUAUUUGCUAAAAAAGAACCGCGAACGUCUGUCACACAGGAAUGCUUAUGUAUUUUCUUAUUUUACGAUUCCCGAUAAUUGUGACAACGCUAGGAAAUUUCUGAAAAUUUCCGCGACUCGAGUUAAUGCUUGAUACCAUGUUGUUCGCGGCAACAGUACUAUUCCCCGCGUGCCCGAUCUCGCGGUCGUCGCAGCCGCACCUGGGCAGCGGCUCCGGAUUUACUCCCACCAGAGCGGGGAUCGCGCCGCUCGCGUCGAGUAGGGCCGCGCGUGAUCACGCGUGGCGCGGCCGCGAGGCGACGACGCGCGUGUUGCGCACCUGCAUCCGCACCGUCAUUCGCCCCGCCGAGUCACUCGGAGCGCGAUCUGUCCAUCCACCCAUCGGCGAUCGCGCAUCGAGGCAUCCGUACGAGGUGGAUCGGUCGCGAGUACCGCCGCGGUUCCGCGAGUUCGUCCCCGCGACCUCUUCCGAUCGCGACUGCGAGCGAGUGCGAGGCGACACGCGUCGCGAGGCUGCCGACUGUCCCGAGGCAGCGGUCGCGGAAUUUCGCGGUCGCGAGUCAACGGCCUUAUCAGCCGCGCCGAACGCCCCUGGCAUCGCGCGUGUUCCCUCGCGCGCUCCGAAAGAGCGGUGCCCGGCUGCCAUCGGCAUACCCCGAGGUCGGCUAUCGCCGUGUCCGCGGUGUCCUCGCGCGGCAGCCGAGAAGCGUGGGAAUCGGAGGGUGACGCCGGGCGAAGCGGCGUGGCGGACAUCGAGCGCGGCGCGCCGUGCCGAGAGAUCUCCCGCGGAAGCAAUUCGUCGUGAAGGUGCGCGUCGCGAGUUGAAACGCGAGAGGUCGCUGGGAGAGACGAAGAAAGAAAACGGAGGCGAAGCGCGCGAAAGGAUAAUCCGCGACUUGCAGAGGAGGACGAAGAGUGGAGAUCGAGCGAGUUCUCGAUUCUCGACCGUCCUCGCGACGAAGGUGGAUCGGCGUGACCGGUCGGUCGCUGGCCCGUGCGCGGCAGCACGGAGGAAGAGAGAAGAAGAGGAGAGGACGGGAGGGCGGAGAACAGGAAGAGAAAGAGGGAGAAGAGGUGAGAAGAGUGAGAGCGCGCGCGAGAAGGUGGGAGGCAGGAGAAAGAGGGCGCCAGCACGGAUAUCGCGCGUCGCGAGACCGGACUCGGAGCGUCGUAGGCGAAUUCUCGGAGCGCCCGCCGGCCGUCCCCGUCGCGUGUUCAGUGAGCCCGUGGACGUGAAACCAACCUAACCUCCUCCGCGCGCGGUACACCCUCUCAACGUCGUGCCGUGCGUGCGUGCGUGCGAGCCGGGAGGAUUCUUCCCACGCGUGUGCCGUCAUCGACGUCGUCGUCGUUAUCGCCGGCGCGAUCGACCGCGAGCAGCGCGCGCCUCCGCACUCGAAUUCAAAUUCAAACUCGCCGAUCGUGCACGAACGCAUCGAUCGAGAGCUCCCGAAUCGGACGGGCGAAGGAAUCCGAGAAGCGUCGCCCGAUUCGAGCGGGCCGUCACGUGAUUACGCGCUUCGCUCCGUCGAUUACGGUUCCCGCCGCUCGCGCGCGCGCGCCUGUGCAUCCGGCACUCCGCAGGAGUUUCGCGGAGCGCGAGAGAACGCGAGUAGCCGAGUAACGGAGCAGCGCAGCGCGGACGCGCGAGAUACGAGAGGAGGCGAAGUGGAGCGAGGGCGGAAGUGAUCGUUGCGAGAAUCCGGAAGAGCCAGCGGUACCCGCCGCCGUUCUAUGCGGCAGGAUGAUGGAGACACAGAAUUACUGGGAGGACUCCGCGCACUCGAUGCAGGUGAAAUACGAGAGAUUGGCGAUACGAGCUAUCGCAUCGGCCGUUGACACCGCCAAUCGAUACCCACGGAUUUAUUCGCGUGUGUGCCUGCGUACCUAUGUAGAUACACGCGUAUGGAUAUCCACACGCGAUUUCCGCACGUCCGACCACCUGCGCUAGUUAACGCAAUUAGUUAUGAAGAGGAUGCAAGCUGUCGCGCACAGAUGCCGAAGAUCAAAUCGAAAGGAGCGCCAAGACACUGACAGCGUCCAAACAACAACUUGUGGAAAUUAUAGAAAAUUAAAAAAAUAAAAUUAAAAAGUAUACAAAGGAUUAACGUGCUAAUUAAUAUAUACAAUGUCAAGGAGUUUAAACCUUCCCUUGCUUUGACACAACGUUAAUCUGCAAAAUAUAAUGUCUGAGAUCAAUCGGUGCUUUUCUCGCGUGCGAUUUUGAUUCCAGAUUUGCACCUCCUUGCCUUAUUUUUAUUUUUCUCUUCCUUAGGGAUACACGUCCCGCGGUCUGACGGAAAUAUCGCUCCGGCAGAUCGCGAUAUCUCACCUCGCGAGUCACGAACUCGCAUUUGGCAAAGAGAUAAGCAGCUUUCGAACUAGUCUCGGCCGUUCGCAAUUUUGAUAUCGGCUACGUCGUAACGUCGUCGCGGUAACAAUACCCACACGCGCGCGACGCACGUCGCGACGAAGGCUAUGGCGACUGACGUAAGCGGGAUGAGUGCCUGCGUCAUGGAAACGAACCGCGACCUGAACGGGGCCGCGUCGCGAUUCAAGAUACCGGGCGCCGGGCGGAUACUAGGUAUUUCGGAGCAGCGUUAUCCGUACUCUGAUACUGUCGAUAAGAGUAUAUCGCGUUUUUUCGGCGACGUCGGUGACACGCACGAAUUUCUGAAUUCUCGACCGCAUUCCUGACAUGAUGGAAUCUUGUUGAUUUUAUUCGACUGUCAAAUUCCCUCUCUCUCUUUUUCUAUGUCCGUUCUAUUUUAGUUAAUUUGAAGAUGUAAAACAGUGGCAAAUUCGGUCCGUGCUUCCUAGAUUCAGUUGCAACACGGAAGCAUUUCUGAGUAAUGCUAUGCAUUAUAUUGCAACAUUCGCCUUUAUUGAGCUCUGGAAACGUUGGGAGUAUAAUCUGGGGUAACUGAUGAUAAAUUGGGAUUAUGUGAAAAGCCUCCGUACGCGAGUUUCUCACGGUAUACGUGCAGAUGUUAUUUCUGCGAAAAAUAUUACGUGUUAUAUUACGGCGUGUUUAAGACCGUAUUUAAUCUUGAAUAAUUAAUCGCCUAUUAGCAGGUAUUACAUAUUCGCUUAUUACGAGCGAUUUAUUUACUACUGAGAGUAACAUAAUGUAAUAAUAAAUGUUAAGUGAAAGUAAAUAAUUGAUACAUCGAUGAAAUGUACCCUGGGCAAAAAGUAACAUUAAACUAUAUUAGAAUUUCACUAAUAUUGUUAGUAUUUCAAUAUGAUGUUACAGUUUCAUUAUAUGAAUUGAUAGGACAGAAAAAAAAUCGAUGUAUUGAGAAAGAAUGCUAUUAAAGACUCAGUCACAUUGUUGAAAACAUCUAGAUUCGAUAUCUAAAUGCAUGAUUUUUAUAUAGAAAAUCAAGUUAAGCACACAAUAAACGUGUGAUUUUACAUAGAAAUGUGCAGUUACUGCGCACUUGAAUUUGCAGUGUAGCCGGCGAGAAUUCCUCUUCAGAAAUGCUAAGCACU
rnacentral:misc_RNA from 1 species